rnacentral:rRNA from 1 species
GACGAACGCUGGCGGCGUGCUUAACACAUGCAAGUCGAACGGAAAGGCCCUGCUUUUGUGGGGUGCUCGAGUGGCGAACGGGUGAGUAACACGUGAGUAACCUGCCCUUGACUUUGGGAUAACUUCAGGAAACUGGGGCUACUACCGGAUAGGAGCUCCUGCUGCAUGGUGGGGGUUGGAAAGUUUCGGCGGUUGGGGAUGGACUCGCGGCUUAUCAGCUUGUUGGUGGGGUAGUGGCUUACCAAGGCUUUGACGGGUAGCCGGCCUGAGAGGGUGACCGGCCACAUUAGGAAUAGGAUACGGCACAGACUGCUACGGGAGGCAGCAGUGGAGAAUAUUGCACCAUGGGCGGAAGCAUGAUGCAGCAGCGCCGCGUGCGGGAUGACGGCCUUCGGAUUGUAAACCGCUUUCGCCUGUAACGAAGCGUGAGUGACGGUAAUGGGUAAAGAAGCACCGGCUAACUACGUG